rnacentral:rRNA from 1 species
GACGAACGCUGGCGGCGUGCUUAACACAUGCAAGUCGAGCGGUAAGGCCCUUUCGGGGUACGACGAGCGGCGAACGGGUGGAGUAACACGUGGGUGACCUGCCCUCAGCUCUGGGAUAAGCCUGGGAAACCGGGUCUAAUACUGGAUAUGACUCCAUGACGCAUGUUGUGGGGUGGAAAGCCUUGUGCGGCUGAGGAUGGGCCCGCGGCUUAUCAGCUUGUUGGUGGGGUGAUGGCCUACCAAGGCGA